rnacentral:lncRNA from 1 species
GCAUUUUCAAAACACAGGAUUGACCUAAUGAGCAGGAAUUUGAGACCAGGUGAUAAGAAACAUCUGAAGCAGUUGACAGAUCAUGAAGCGGGUCCUCUGAGAAAUGAGAGGCAUUCUGCCGGAUGGCAUUUUUUUUUUUUUUUGAGACGAAGUCUCACCCUGUCACCCAGGCUAGAGUGCAGUGGCACGAUCUCGGCUCACUGCAACCUCCGCCUCCCAGUUUCAAGUGAUUCUCCUGCCUCAGCCUCCCGAGUAGGAUGGCUUUUAAAAUGUUUUCUCCAGCGUCAUCUGCCUCAUUAACAGCGAUUUUUGUCUUAGAAGUCUCUCUUUGAGUUUCUAAAUGGACAUGACUGCUUAUUCUGUUAGGAAUGCACUCCACUCUAGUCCUUCAAUUAGCCCAUCACAUUGUCACUGUGGCAUCUGUAUGCACAUUUUCUGCCGUGUUAAUGUCAUCUUCAUUGUCCAAUUGUGGCAUCAUGUUGGUGCUCAAAACGUUGCAGAUUUUGGAACAUUUUGGAUUUCGGACUUUUAGAGUAGAGAUGCUCAGGCUCUACUACUUCUUAUUUCAGAGAAAAACAUAAUAUCCAAAUAACUAAUAAAAACUUGGUUGGAGAAUGCAGACUUCUAGAAAUGACUGUUUAAUCUGCUUAUGAUAAAUAAUCCUCUUUGCUCUACUGCAAAGGGGAGACUACUGCUGUUACUGUUUUGUGUCAUCAUGUCCUGAUCAGACAAACACUGAUUUAAAAAAAAAAUAAAACAAGUACAUUGUAUAUGUAAAUUUAGACUGUAAUAAUAUAUCCUUGAGAAAUAAAUAUUAUAUGGACUCCAUUUUUCUCUGACAGUCAAUUAAGCACAAAAAGAUUUUUAAAGCACUGAUUUUUGCAUUCUUAAAUGACAAAUGAAGUCUUCUUGAAAUAAGAUUUUUAAUGAUUUAGAGAAAUAUUUGCACAUACACUAGCUUGGUGUUGAUUCUCAAUUUUUAAUUUUUUUUUAAUCCUUUCCCUGGCAUUUUCAUCGUUUCCUUUUUUUUUUUUUUUUUUUUUUGAGACAGAGUUUCACUCUUGUUGCCCAGGCUGGAGUGCAAUGGUGGGAUCUUGGCUCACUGCACCCUCCGCCUCCCAGGUUCAAGCUAUUCUCCCACUUCAGCCUCCCAAGUAGCUGGGAUUAUAGGUGUGCACCACCAUGCCUGGCUAAUUUUGCAUUUUUUUUUUUUUUUUAGUAGAGAUGGGGUUUCACCAUUUUGGUCAGGCUGGUCUUGAACUCCUGAUCUCAAGUGAUCCACCUGCCUCGGCCUCCCAACGUGCUGGGGUUAUAGGCGUGAGCCACCACGCCAAGCCUAUCCUUCCCCUUUUUCUGUUUUGUUAUGGAUGAUGAAUGUCUUAAAACUACUGAACUCCUUAUACCUUGAUAUGGUUAGUGAGAGCUUCCUUGUGGGAUGGUUCUGAAUGAUUUUCUCUAGAACCUCCAUUUGAACAUCUUCCUUUCCUCUGCUCACUGUACCAGUCUGGGGCUAUCAAAUCACAUAUGCUGAUAAAUGCUACACUAUGACUGGUGAAGCCAGUGCUAAAAAGCAGCUUCUACAUAUGGCACUUCCAAAUUGUGUUAUUGCUAGCUUUUCCAGUGCUUUCUCUACUAGGGCAUCCACUGCAUGUCACCUGCUAAAAUGCAAACCACAUCUUUAAUGAAAGUCUGUUUUAUUGAAUAUAUAAGUGA